AGAGUUUGAUCCUGGCUUAGGAUUAACGCUGGCGGCAUGCCUAAUACAUGCAAGUCGAAUGGUUAGCUUGCUAACCAUGGCGAACGGGUGAGUAACACGUAGGUAACCUGUCUUCAAGACGAGGAUAACCAUUGGAAACGAUGGAUAAUACUGGAUAGGACAAAUCCCCGCAUGAGGAGAUGUUUAAAGGAGCAAUCCACUUGAUGAGGGGCCUGCGGUGCAUUAGCUAGUUGGUGAGGUAAAGGCCCACCAAGGCGAUGAUGCAUAGCCGGACUGAGAGGUUGAACGGCCACAAUGGAACUGAGAACGGUCCAUACUCCUACGGGAGGCAGCAGUAGGGAAUUUUCGGCAAUGGGCGGAAGCCUGACCGAGCAAUGCCGCGUGAACGAUGAAGUAUUUCGGUAUGUAAAGUUCUUUUAUUUGGGAAGAAAAAACAAAUUGACGGUACCAAAUGAAUAAGCUCCGGCUAACUACGUGCCAGCCGCCGC
rnacentral:rRNA from 1 species